GGGAGUGAGGGCAUGGGUGCUAAGGUCCGUGCCCGAGAGGAGAAGAAUCCAGACCGCCGGCUAAGGUCCCGAAAUACAGGUUAAGUUAAACUAACGAAGUGCGGUCCCCGUGACAGCUAGGAUGUUGGCUUGGAAGCAGCCAUUCAUUCAAAGAGUGCGUAACAGCUCACUAGUCGAGGGACUGUGCGUGGAUAAUAAUCGGGUAUCAAACCUGUUACCGAAGCCGCGGGAUACAUUAAGUAUCGGUAGGGGAGCAUUCCAUGUGCGCAGAAGAUCCGGGAUGACCCGUGUUGGAGCGCAUGGAAAAGCAAAUGUAGGUAUAAGUAACGAUAAGGAGUGUGAGAUGCACUCCCGCCGAAAGACUAAGGUUUCCCGGGCAACGUUAAUCGGCCCGGGGUCAGUCGGGUCCUAAGGAUAAGCCUAAGGGCGAAGCCGAUGGAAAAACGGUCAACAUUCCGUUACUGCCCUUGAUGGCGAUGCGGCGACGCAGCAGUGACACUUCCGCGCCCUGACGGAAUAGGGCGUUUAAGGAUGUAGGUUAUGAGGACGGCAGGCAAAUCCACCGUCCGAGCUGAACUCCGAAAGUACGCGAAGCCUCCGGGCCGAGCGAGCGAAGGUAAUCAUACUGCCGAGAAAACCCGCUAAGCUCAACAUCAAUGGCACCCGUACCGCAAACGGACACACGUAGUCGGGUUGAAAAUACUGAGGCGCUUGGAAGAUUCACGGUUAAGGAACUAGGCAAAUUGACCCCGUACCUUCGGAAUAAGGGGUCCUCCAGUGAUGGAGGCGCAGAGAAUAGGUCCAGGCAACUGUUUAACAAAAACACAGGGCUGUGCUAAAUAGCAAUAUGAUGUAUACAGCCUGACACCUGCCCGGUGCCGGAAGGUUAAGAGGAGUGCUCAACGCAAGUGAAGGCAUGAAUUGAAGCCCCGGUAAACGGCGGCCGUAACUAUAACGGUCCUAAGGUAGCGAAAUUCCUUGUCGGGUAAGUUCCGACCUGCACGAAUGGUGUAAUGAUCCGGACACUGUCUCAACC
rnacentral:rRNA from 1 species